rnacentral:rRNA from 1 species
GCAGCAGCCGCGGGAAAACGGAGGGGGCUAGCGUUGUUCGGAAUUACUGGGCGUAAAGCGUACGUAGGCGGCUUUGUAAGUUAGAGGUGAAAGCCUGGUGCUCAACACCAGAACUGCCUUUAAGACUGCAUCGCUUGAACGUCGGAGAGGUGAGUGGAAUUCCGAGUGUAGAGGUGAAAUUCGUAGAUAUUCGGAAGAACACCAGUGGCGAAGGCGGCUCACUGGACGACUGUUGACGCUGAGGUACGAUAGCGUGGGGAGCAAACAGGAUUAGAUACCCCUGUAGUCCCUGUCUCUUAUAC